rnacentral:rRNA from 1 species
GAUGAACGCUGGCGGCGUGCCUAAUACAUGCAAGUCGAGCGAACAGACGAGGAGCUUGCUCCUCUGACGUUAGCGGCGGACGGGUGAGUAACACGUGGAUAACCUACCUAUAAGACUGGGAUAACUUCGGGAAACCGGAGCUAAUACCGGAUAAUAUAUUGAACCGCAUGGUUCAAUAGUGAAAGACGGUUUUGCUGUCACUUAUAGAUGGAUCCGCGCCGCAUUAGCUAGUUGGUAAGGUAACGGCUUACCAAGGCAACGAUGCGUAGCCGACCUGAGAGGGUGACCGCCCCCACGGAAAUGGGAACCGGGCCCAGCCUCCAAGGGGAGGCAGCAGGAGGAAUGCUUCAGAAAGGGGCGAAACCUGGACGGAGCAACGCGGGGUGGGUGAAGAAGGUUUUGGGAUCUAAAAACUUUUUUAAUAGGGAAGAAAAAAUGUAAAAGAAACUAUGCACGUCUUGGGGGACCCAAAUAGAAAGACCAGGGCUAACCAGGUG